UACGAAGGGGGCUAGCGUUGUUCGGAAUCACUGGGCGUAAAGGGCGCGUAGGUGGCUCGGUAAGUGUGCGGUGAAAGUCCGGGGCUCAACCCCGGAUCGGCCGUGCAGACUGCUUGGCUUGAGCAUAGUAGAGGCAGGUGGAAUUCCGGGUGUAGCGGUGGAAUGCGUAGAGAUCCGGAAGAACACCGGUGGCGAAGGCGGCCUGCUGGGCUAUUGCUGACACUGAGGCGCGACAGCGUGGGGAGCAAACAGG
rnacentral:rRNA from 1 species